rnacentral:tRNA from 1 species
AGGAUAAUAGUUAAUAAUAACAUUUAAUUUGCAUUUAAAAAGUAUUGGAAUUCAAUUUAUCUUA